rnacentral:rRNA from 1 species
AUGAACGCUAGCUACAGGCUUAACACAUGCAAGUCGCGGGGCAGCAUGGGGGUUGCUUGCAAUCCCCGAUGGCGACCGGCGCACGGGUGAGUAACGCGUAUCCAACCUGCCCUUCACCACGGGAUAACCCGGCGAAAGUCGGACUAAUACCGUAUGUUGUCCAUUGACGGCAUCCGAUUUGGACGAAAGGUUUGGCGGUGAAGGAUGGGGAUGCGUCCGAUUAGCUGGACGGCGGGGUGACGGCCCACCGUGGCGACGAUCGGUAGGGGUUCUGAGAGGAAGGUCCCCCACACUGGAACUGAGACACGGUCCAGACUCCUACGGGAGGCAGCAGUGAGGAAUAUUGGUCAAUGGGCGUAAGCCUGAACCAGCCAAGUAGCGUGCAGGAUGACGGCCCUAUGGGCUGUAAACUGCUUUUAUGCGGGGAUAAAGUGGCCCACGUGUGGGUUUUUGCAGGUACCGCAUGAAUAAGGACCGGCUAAUUCCGUG